UACGUAGGGUCCGAGCGUUGUCCGGAAUUACUGGGCGUAAAGAGCUCGUAGGUGGUUUGUCGCGUUGUUCGUGAAAACUCACAGCUCAACUGUGGGCGUGCGGGCGAUACGGGCAGACUGGAGUACUGCAGGGGAGACUGGAAUUCCUGGUGUAGCGGUGGAAUGCGCAGAUAUCAGGAGGAACACCGGUGGCGAAGGCGGGUCUCUGGGCAGUAACUGACGCUGAUGCGCGAAAGCGUGGGGAGCAAACGGG
rnacentral:rRNA from 1 species